GAUGAACGCUAGCGAUAGGCUUAACACAUGCAAGUCGAGGGGCAGCACAAGGUAGCUUGCUAUCUCGGUGGCGACCGGCGCACGGGUGCGUAACGCGUAUGCAACUUGCCCUAUACAGGAGGAUAACCCGUCGAAAGACGGACUAAUACUGCGUAUGCUCACAACUUGGCAUCAAGUGGUGAGGAAAGAAAUUCGGUAUAGGAUAGGCAUGCGUCCCAUUAGCUUGUUGGUGAGGUAACGGCUCACCAAGGCAACGAUGGGUAGGGGAACUGAGAGGUUUAUCCCCCACACUGGUACUGAGACACGGACCAGACUCCUACGGGAGGCAGCAGUGAGGAAUAUUGGUCAAUGGGCGCGAGCCUGAACCAGCCAAGUCGCGUGAAGGAUGACUGUCCUAUGGAUUGUAAACUUCUUUUAUACGGGAAUAACAAGAGUCACGUGUGACUCCCUGCAUGUACCGUAUGAAUAAGCAUCGGCUAACUCCGUG
rnacentral:rRNA from 1 species